rnacentral:rRNA from 1 species
AUACGAAGGGUGCUAGCGUUGUUCGGAAUUACUGGGCGUAAAGCGCGCGUAGGCGGACUGAUCAGUUGGGGGUGAAAUCCCAGGGCUUAACCCUGGAACUGCCUCCAAUACUGUCAGUCUUGAGUUCGGGAGAGGUGAGUGGAAUUCCUAGUGUAGAGGUGAAAUUCGUAGAUAUUAGGAAGAACACCAGUGGCGAAGGCGGCUCACUGGCCCGAUACUGACGCUGAGGCGCGAAAGCGUGGGGAGCAAACAGGAUUAGAAACCCUAGUAGUCC